UACGAAGGGUGCAAGCGUUACUCGGAAUUACUGGGCGUAAAGCGUGCGUAGGCGGUUCGUUAAGUCUGACGUGAAAUCCCCGGGCUCAACCUGGGACGUGCGUUGGAAACUGGCGAUCUAGAGUACGGUAGAGGGUGGUGGAAUUCCCGGUGUAGCAGUGAAAUGCGUAGAGAUCGGGAGGAACACUCGUGGCGAAGGCGGCCACCUGGACCAGUACUGACGCUGAGGCACGAAAGCGUGGGGAGCAAACAGG
rnacentral:ncRNA from 2 species